AGCUCCAAUAGCGUAUAUUAAAGUUGUUGCAGUUAAAAAGCUCGUAGUUGGAUUUCUGGUCUGAUGCCCUGGAGUACGCCCGUUUCGGGUGUGUUUUGCCGGUCGUGCGUCUACCAUCCUUCCAGGGAACGUGUCUACCUUUAACUAGGACGGGCACGGGAUCUGGAUCUUUUACUUUGAAAAAUUAGAGUGUUUAAAGCAGGCUUUGGCUAUGAAUACAUUAGCAUGGAAUAAUAAUCUAGGACUUCGGUUCUAUUUUGUUGGUUUCUAGUACUGAAGUAAUGAUUGAUAGGGAUAGUUGGGGGUGCUAGUAUUGAGCGGCCAGAGGUGAAAUUCUUGGAUUCGCUCAAGACUAACUUAUGCGAAAGCAUUCACCAAGGAUGUCUUC
rnacentral:rRNA from 1 species